rfam:Rattus norvegicus chromosome 17, whole genome shotgun sequence.
CCAAAGGCUCUUUUCAGAGCCACCUACACUUUCAGUCAAAAAGUCU